rnacentral:rRNA from 1 species
UAGGGAAUCUUCGGCAAUGGGGGCAACCCUGACCGAGCAACGCCGCGUGAGUGAAGAAGGUUUUCGGAUCGUAAAGCUCUGUUGUAAGAGAAGAACGUGUGUGAGAGUAACUGUUCAUUCGAUGACGGUAUCUAACCAGCAAGUCACGGCUAACUACGUGCCAG